rnacentral:tRNA from 1 species
GGUCAGUGGUCUAGUGGUUACGACUAGGCACUUUCACUGCUAUAGCCUAGGUUCAAUUCCUGGUCUGGUCU